rnacentral:tRNA from 2 species
GCGGGUGUAGUUCAGUGGUAGAGCGCCAGCUUCCCAAGCUGGAUGUCGCGGGUUCGAAUCCCGUCACCCGCUCCA